CCUACGGUGGGCAGCAGUGGGGGAUAUUGCACAAUGGGGGAAACCCUGAUGCAGCGACGCCGCGUGUGGGAAGACGGUCCUCUGGAUUGUAAACCACUGUCCCCAGGGACGAAGAUGACGGUACCUGACUAAGAAGCCCCGGCUAACUACGUGCCAGCAGCCGCGGUAAUACGUAGGGGGCAAGCGUUAUCCGGAUUUACUGGGUGUAAAGGGGGCGCAGACGGCAGCGCAAGCCAGGAGUGAAAGCCCGGGGCCCAACCCCGGGACUGCUCUUGGAACUGCGCGGCUGGAGUGCAGGAGGGGCAGGCGGAAUUCCUGGUGUAGCGGUGAAAUGCGUAGAUAUCAGGAGGAACACCGGUGGCGAAGGCGGCCUGCUGGACUGCGACUGACGUUGAGGCCCGAAAGCGUGGGGAGCAAACAGGAUUAGAUACCCGAGUAGUC
rnacentral:rRNA from 1 species